UACGUAGGGGGCAAGCGUUGUCCGGAAUUAUUGGGCGUAAAGCGCGCGCAGGCGGUACAUUAAGUCUGAUGUGAAAGCCCACGGCUCAACCGUGGAGGGUCAUUGGAAACUGGUGAACUUGAGUGCAGGAGAGGAAAGUGGAAUUCCAUGUGUAGCGGUGAAAUGCGUAGAUAUAUGGAGGAACACCAGUGGCGAAGGCGACUUUCUGGCCUGUAACUGACGCUGAGGCGCGAAAGCGUGGGGAGCAAAC
rnacentral:rRNA from 1 species